GCCCCCGUAGCUCAGUCGGAUAGAGCGGGGGAUUCCUAAUCCCUGUCUGUCACAGGUUCGAUUCCUGUCGGGGGUA
rnacentral:tRNA from 1 species